UCGAGAAUUUUUCACAAUGGGGGAAACCCUGAUGGAGCGACGCCGCGUGGAGGACGAAGGCCUUCGGGUUGUAAACUCCUGUCAUGCGGGAACAAGAAAGUGAUAGUACCGCAAGAGGAAGAGACGGCUAACUCUGUGCCAGCAGCCGCGGUAAUACAGAGGUCUCAAGCGUUGUUCGGAUUCAUUGGGCGUAAAGGGUGCGUAGGUGGCGAUGUAAGUCUGGUGUGAAAUCUCGGGGCUCAACCUCGAAAUUGCAUUGGAUACUGCGUUGCUUGAGGAUUGUAGAGGAGAGUGGAAUUCACGGUGUAGCAGUGAAAUGCGUAGAUAUCGUGAGGAAGACCAGUUGCGAAGGCGACUCUCUGGGCAACUCCUGACACUGAGGCACGAAGGCUAGGGGAGC
rnacentral:rRNA from 1 species